GACAACCCCCUUCUCACUCUCUCUCGGCCUCCCUCCCUCCCCGGGGGGUUUAUUCUUCAGUCCCUUUCCUUCUCCUUUUGGCCUCUCUCUCCUCCGCCUUUCGCUCUCGAAUCUCCAUGUCCUCUCUCUCUCUCUCUCUCUCUGCUUGCGCCUUCCAAUUCUCCGAAUUCCCUCUCAUCGGUUUCUUUUCUCUUGGCUGCUUCUUCGCUUCUAAGGUUUCUAGGGUUUUGGGUGCUCCAUUCGCCGGAGCCAGCUCGAGCUCCGGCGGGGGAUCGAGCGCCGAGCGCUGGGCCCAUCUAGGGUAAGAACUAGGCAAGGAGGAACAGUAGUCGUGCGCGGAUUGCCGCUCGUCUUCCUCACUAGUUCAAUUGGGUGGAAUCUGAGGGUUUUGCGAGGCGCUGAUCUGUAGAUUGCUGCAAGAGCUCGUGGAAGUUUGCUUGCUUCGGGUGUGCGGAUGGCUUUUCUUAGUUAAGUCAAGAAAGGAAAUUCAUUCAGUUGAGGUAUCAGUUAAUGAUGUUGGACAAAAAUCCAUUGUUUGAUGGGCUCCAUUAUUAGUCAGUCCUUUCUUGUGAAUGCUACUACUGAGUGUAGAAGCUGUUGCUUUAAAUGAAUAUAUGAGUUUGUACUGCAGUUGAUUCUAGAGCUAUGGGUUAUGAUUGGUAUUCUUAAACAACUGUGCUGCAAUUUAGAGAUCUGCGAUAAGAGUUCUUUCCACCUUUAAAAUGCCUUCAUGGUGGGGGAAAUCUUCCUCUAAAGAUGUGAAGAAGAAGACAACAAAGGAGAAUCUGAUUGAUACAUUACAUCGGUUUAUAAAUCCAACUGAUCAAAAGGGUAAUGUGAAAUCAGGAGGGGCUCGAAGACAUAGUAAUGAUAUAACCUCAGAGAAGGGGUCCAGAUCAAGAGUAGAAUCACGAUCAACAUCACCCACAACACAGGUAUCGCGUUGUCAAAGUUUUGCAGAUAGGCCACAUGCCCAACCACUUCCUCUCCCUGGCCUGUGUUCAGGCAUUAUGCGCACUUCCUCUGAUGUCAGCACAUCAAAGCCAAUGUUGGAAAAACGUGGCAGACCGCAGCUGCAUUUACCACUUCCUAGACCAAAUCACAAUCCAAAAAGGCCAGAUCCUACUGAUAUUGAUGGAGAUUUGGCUACUGCUUCAAUUUCUAGUAACUGCUCCAUUGAUAGUGAUGAUCCUGCAGAUUCUCAACUUCAAAGUCCUAUCGGAAAUGAUCUUGAACAUGGAAACAGAGGUGUUGCAAACAACCAGUCCAGUGUGGCGCAUAAAGAUCAGUCUCCUGUGGUUACUCGGAAGAACUCGAGAGAAAUGACAAAACCAACGAAUUUGAUUUUUGCAAAUCAAAUUCUUUCAACAUCGCCCAAGCAGGGUGUUCUGAACAGCAACCAGUCCAAUAUACAUGUUCCUAUGCCUGUUGCUCUUGGAAGUGCCCCAGAUAGUUCAAUGUCAAGUCCUUCUAGAAGCCCUAUAAGAGUUGUAUGCCCUGAGCAGAUUCUCGCCUCAGCUUUUUGGGCAGCGAAGCCUCAUGCAGAUGUCACUUUUCUUGGAUCUGGCCAAUGCUCCAGUCCAGGCUCUGGUCAGACCUCUGGGCAUAAUUCAGUGGGAGGAGAUAUGUUAGGGCAGUUAUUCUGGCAGCACAGCAGGGGUAGCCCAGAGUGUUCUCCAAUACCUAGCCCAAGAAUGACAAGUCCUGGUCCUGGCUCUAGGAUACAUAGUGGAACUGUCUCUCCACUGCAUCCACGGGAUGGAGGGACAGCACCAGAAUCACCUACUAGUAGGCAUGAUGAGGGGAAGAAGCAAAGCCACCGGUUGCCACUACCCCCAAUAAAUAUUUCUGGUUCUCCUUUUCCUCCAAACAAUGCAACAUCAAAUACUCCAUCGUCAAUACCUCGAAGUCCUGGAAGGACAGAGAAUCCCACAAGCCCUGGAUCACGGUGGAAGAAGGGGAAGUUGAUUGGGCGUGGCACAUUUGGACAUGUCUAUGUUGGUUUUAACAGUGAGAGUGGUGAAAUGUGUGCAAUGAAGGAGGUUACCCUCUUCAUGGAUGAUGCUAAGUCAAAAGAAAGUGCAAAGCAAUUGGGGCAAGAAAUCUCUCUCUUGAGUCGGUUGCGUCAUCAAAAUAUAGUGCAAUAUUAUGGAAGUGAGAUGAUAGAUGAUAAGCUUUAUAUAUAUCUGGAAUAUGUCUCUGGUGGUUCCAUCCAUAAACUUCUUCAAGAGUAUGGGAAAUUAGGUGAACCAGCGAUUCGUAGCUAUACUCAACAAAUCCUUUCGGGCCUAGCAUAUUUGCAUGCUAAGAAUACUGUCCAUAGAGAUAUCAAAGGUGCAAAUAUUCUUGUAGACCCAAAUGGCCGUGUUAAGCUGGCAGAUUUUGGGAUGGCAAAACAUAUUACUGGACAUUCAUGUCCCUUAUCAUUCAAAGGAAGUCCCUACUGGAUGGCACCUGAGGUUAUAAAAAACACCAAUGGCUGCAAUCUUGCUGUGGACAUUUGGAGCCUAGGAUGCACUGUUUUGGAGAUGGCUACAUCAAAACCACCAUGGAGCCAAUAUGAAGGGAUAGCGGCCAUGUUCAAGAUUGGUAACAGUAAGGAGCUUCCAGCAAUACCUGAUCAUCUCUCAGAUGAGGGCAAGGAUUUUAUAAGGCAGUGUCUGCAACGUGAACCAUCUAAUCGUCCUACAGCAGCUGAGCUUUUGCAGCAUCCGUUUGUGAAAACUGCAGCAUUGAUGGAAAAAUCUGUUUUCAAUUUUGAACUUUUGAAACGGCCUACGCCUGUUUCAAGUGGGCCAAAUUCCAAGGUAAAAUUUCAUGGCGUUGGGCAUGCUAGAAAUCUUUCUUCCUUUGAUGUGGAAGGAGUAGCAAUUCAUCAGAUAAGGGGUGCAAAGGCUUCUACAAUGACCAGUGAUAUUCAUAUGAGGGACAUAUCUUGUCCUGUCUCUCCCAUUGGAAGCCCUCUGCUGAAUUCAAGGUCUCCAAAACAUAUCAAUGGAAGGAUGUCCCCAUCACCCAUAUCAAGCCCUAGAACUGCCUCAGGCUCAUCCACACCCUUGACGGGUGGCAAUGGUGCCAUUCCAUUUAGUCAUCCCAACCAGUCAGCUUACCUUCGUGAGGGGUUCAUGGGCAUGUUAAGAUCCCCACAUGAUCUCUGUACUAGUGGGACAACCUAUCAUGAUCCCAAGCUUGAUCUUUUUAUAGGGAUGCACCAAGGCUCUCCUGUUCUUCGAGAAAGGAUGGCAUCUGAAGCUGACAUUCUCAGUGCUCAAUUUGGAAGGGCAGGACCUGGAAAUCUCCGGGACCCAUAUGAUAGGCAGUCUGUACUGGACUAUCAUGUGCCUCAUCAGAUCUUGAGAGAUCCCACAAAACUGAACCCAUCACUAGACCUUAUGCCCUGAUUCUUCCAUCCUUGGCCGUACAAAUGGUACCGAUUUUGUUAAGGGCUGGUCAGCCAGCGCUGGCUUGCUUUUGAGCUAGUGGAUUAUUUUUUUGGUUCUAGCAUGUUUAGAUCAUCUUCAUUUGCGUAGGAAAUCAAUCCUGUAUAAGCGCCCAAAGUUAACCAUAGAAUAAAUUUCGGGAAAUUUGAAGGCUGAAGCAAUGAUCGUGUGAAGUCCGUAUCUACAAUACUGUGCAUCAAGUUUGUAUUGAAUAGACAUCUUGUUAACCUGAUCUCAGAAUUCGAAGUUGAAUUAUCUGGUUGAGGAUGGCAUUAAAUUGUUAUAUUAAAACUUACAGUGUGCAUACAUUGAAUUUUCAACAGUUCAUGGUUGAUGAUAAACUGUAUAUUUGAAACUAUUCUGGAAGAAAAUUUUUUUUGGAAAUAGUAGGAUUUGUGUUUGUUUUCUAUACCUUCUUUUUUCUCCAUUUUUUGGGUCCAAGGCCAUUGUACAGAAGAUGGGAAACCUCAUUCCGUGACCAGAUUUUGCACUGCAAAGAUGGUUGAGCCUUUGAGAAAUUGUGUUGUCGAUACAUUCCUUACCUCAUCAGAUUUAGUCACCAUGGAUUUCUAGAUGUUGCUUGAGGCACUCGAGCCAUAUCAUUGCUGUAUGAACACUUUGCUGGAAAUUGCAAAAGAUAUUGCUUGAGGCAUUUCUUC